UUAUCUACAUGUCAUGUCUGUGUUUAUUUCAAGUGCAAACAGUAGAACUGUCACAAAUGAAUAUAUCUAUGACUUUGCACCUGCACUUAAUUUAGACAUUUUUAAGCAUUUUAGGUCAAAAUCAGAGUGUAACUUUUACUUUUCAUACUAAAUGAAAUAUUCAGCCCCAAAUAGCACUUGAUUACAGAAGAGUUUUCACUUGUUAACCUGACCGAUACAGCAACCAUCACACCAAACAUUCCAAAACCUGUUUCAUUAGAUAGAAACAAUCAAUGAAUUUGGGCAACCAGUAUCUGAUUGAAUACUAUAGCUAAAAGUGUGUCACAGCUUUGUUCUGAUCGGUUGUUUCUGUUUAUGUGUUUUGUACGCUGUGUGUUUUGUCAUUGGUUUGUUUUGACAGGUGGCCAUGCACGUACCAGUCAUUGUCUUAAGCCCAGGAUACACUGCAAGAUUUUUGCUCUCCUAUAGACGGGUUGCACGGCGACGACAUUAACUGGUUGCGCGCGCAACCGAGAGGCAGAAAGAAGAGACAUGCAUUGUGUUGUAUGCUAGUAGCCGUGUCUAUUGUGCCCUGAUGCCAUCUGCCCCGUUCUCCCAGCCUCAUCUUCCCUCUCUAUGCCUAGCUUCACAUCGGUUGGCUCUUCUUUGGCUCUCUUCAUCCCGUCUGCCUGCCUCGCUGCUCUCCCUGAUAACAUUUCCUGACUGAUGCCUUGCACUCUUACUCUUUCUGCAAGGUGCCAUUCUCAGCAGUGACUCAAUUUAGUGCCACCCUGCUGCUUGGCAUUGCACUUCUGAGGUCAUCACCAUCUUUCUUCAGCCAACCAAAAUGAUUCUCACCAACCACCCCAGCUCUGCUAACCUUGAUGUUUGAGAUCUGCUGUUUUUGAAGCAGGGGACCACUGUCCAUUAAAGGCUUCAUAAACCAUUUAACAAAAUCACAUAAGAUAGGGUAGUUCAUACUCC